UAUUAGAAGCAGAGAUUAUAUCAGAACCAGAAGAUUUACAACUCGCAAAACAAGUAGAAUUGAUAGAAAGAGAAAUGCUACCAGUAACAGGAAGUGUUUUGGAUGGUAAUAAACGCAACUACGAGUACUAUGUAUUCCAGAAAAAUGACAGCAAAGGGGAAGCAGAAAUAGUAGCAGAAGAAACGAUAUCAAAAAAUCUAGAAAUUUCAGAUGGAGUGGGAAAAAUUUUAGAAUCGAACAUCAGCAACAAACAUGAUAAUAUAGGAACUAGCAAGAAAUAUGUGUUACGUGAAAUACAAAUACCUCCAAAAAUGGUUAAAUGUGGAAGACCGAAGGGUUCAGAGUUAACAGUCAUUGGUACAAAAAGAAAAAGGCGUAAAGCAUCAGGUCCAUCCAACAACUGAAUUUUAUUUUUCAUUUUUUAUUUAUUUCGAUUUGGUUUAACUCUGUAAAGUUUCUUAUAAUAAUAAUGUAUUCUCAAUAAAUAAUGUUAAUUUGA